GAUGAACGCUGGCGGCGUGCCUAAUACAUGCAAGUCGAGCGAACAGACGAGGAGCUUGCUCCUCUGACGUUAGCGGCGGACGGGUGAGUAACACGUGGAUAACCUACCUAUAAGACUGGGAUAACUUCGGGAAACCGGAGCUAAUACCGGAUAAUAUAUUGAACCGCAUGGUUCAAUAGUGAAAGACGGUUUUGCUGUCACUUAUAGAUGGAUCCGCGCCGCAUUAGCUAGUUGGUAAGGUAACGGCUUACCAAGGCGACGAUGCGUAGCCGACCUGAGAGGGUGAUCGGCCAAACUGGAACUGAGAAACGGUCCAGACUCCUACGGGAGGCAGCAGUAGGGAAUCUUCCGCAAUGGGCGAAAGCCUGACGGAGCAACGCCGCGUGAGUGAUGAAGGUCUUCGGAUCGUAAAACUCUGUUAUUAGGGAAGAACAAAUGUGUAAGUAACUAUGCACGUCUUGACGGUACCUAAUCAGAAAGCCACGGCUAACUACGUG
rnacentral:rRNA from 1 species